rnacentral:rRNA from 1 species
UACGUAGGGGGCGAGCGUUGUCCGGAGUACUGGGCGUAAAGCGCACGCAGGCGGUCUGCUAAGUUUGGAGUGACAGUUGGUGGCUUAACUGCCAAAGUGCUUCGAAAACUGACAGACUUGAGGGCUUCAGAGGGACACGGAAUUCCGGGUGGAGUGGUGAAAUGCGUAGAUAUCGGGAGGAACACCUGUGGCGAAAGCGGCGCACUGGACCACAACUGACGCUGGAGGCGCGAAAACUAGGGGAGCAAACAGGA